rnacentral:lncRNA from 1 species
UUAAACGCGAGUAAUAGUGCAAGAUAGUGUUAAUAACAGAACAAUAGUUUACAAAAAAGUGCAACGAAUCUUGUAAGAGUGCAAUACGGUGUUAAUAACAGUGCAAUAGAUUGAAUAAAGAGUGCAAAUAAGCUUGUAAGUGUGCAAUACGGUGAUAAUACCAGUGCAAUGGUUUGAAAAAGAGUGGUACUAAGCUUGUAAGGGUGCGUUCGAGAGGUGGAA